rnacentral:rRNA from 1 species
CCUACGGGAGGCAGCAGUGAGGAAUAUUGGUCAAUGGACGGAAGUCUGAACCAGCCAUGCCGCGUGCAGGAAGACGGCUCUAUGAGUUGUAAACUGCUUUUGUACAGGGGUAAACCUGAAUACGUGUAUUCAUCUGCCAGUACUGUACGAAUAAGGAUCGGCUAACUCCGUGCCAGCAGCCGCGGUAAUACGGAGGAUCCAAGCGUUAUCCGGAUUUAUUGGGUUUAAAGGGUGCGUAGGCGGAUUGAUAAGUUAGAGGUGAAAUGUCAGAGCUUAACUCGGGAACUGCCUCUAAUACUGUUGAUCUAGAGAGUAGAUGAGGUAGGCGGAAUGUAUGGUGUAGCGGUGAAAUGCUUAGAGAUCAUACAGAACACCGAUUGCGAAGGCAGCUUACCAAUCUAUAUCUGACGUUGAGGCACGAAAGCGUGGGGAGCAAACAGGAUUAGAUACCCCAGUAGUC